rnacentral:rRNA from 1 species
UACGGGGGGGGCAAGCGUUGUUCGGAAUUACUGGGCGUAAAGGGCUCGUAGGCGGCCAACUAAGUCGGACGUGAAAUCCCUCGGCUCAACCGGGGAACUGCGUCCGAUACUGGAUGGCUUGAAUCCGGGAGAGGGAUGCGGAAUUCCAGGUGUAGCGGUGAAAUGCGUAGAUAUCUGGAGGAACACCGGUGGCGAAGGCGGCAUCCUGGACCGGUAUUGACGCUGAGGAGCGAAAGCCAGGGGAGCAAACGGG